CUAAUGUUUGGGGGUUGGGGUUAACUAUUAAAGAACCUUUAUGUUAACGUUUCCCAAAUGGGAUUGGCUCCUUGUGAAAGCGCAUAAGAGCCAAGCCGUAACUAGUACAACUGUCGUUAAUUGGAAUUCUGGCUCCCCAAAGCGCUGUUUGUACAUUCUCUCCAUUCCCGUUAAAGUCUUACAGGAAAGUUGCAAGAAUAACAGGAUUUGCAUAUACCUCUCACUUGGAUUCCCCAAAUGUUAAUAUUUGACUACAAUCACUAAAUUAAAUGUUGGCUAGAGAAGAUGGCUAAGUAUGGAACCUAUUAUGAAGUCUGGAACUGGAGGCUUACUGUGAGGUUGAAAUAAGCAACCAGAGGGAUAGGAGACAAGACUACAAACGUGAAGACUUCCUGAAAAGAGGAAAUGAUCAACAUUAGCAAAUGAUGCUAAGAGGUCUAGUAUGAUAAGAAAUGGAAAUGUUCCGGGACGCCCGGGGUGGCUCAGCCGUUGAGCCUCUGCCUUCUGCCCAGGGUGUGAUCCUGGAAUCUCAGGAUCAAGUCCCGCAUUGGGCUUCGUGCAUGGAGCCUGCUUCUUCCCUCUGCCUGGGUCUCUGCCUCUCUCUG